AUUGAACGCUGGCGGCAUGCCUUACACAUGCAAGUCGAACGGCAGCACGGGUGCUUGCACCUGGUGGCGAGUGGCGAACGGGUGAGUAAUACAUCGGAACGUACCUUAUCGUGGGGGAUAACGCAGCGAAAGCUGUGCUAAUACCGCAUACGCCCUGAGGGGGAAGCCGGGGGAUCGAAAGACCUCCCGCGAUUAGAGCGGCCGAUGCCGGAUAAGCUUGUUGGUGGGGUAAAGCCCACCAAGGGGACGAUCAGUAGCUGGUCUGAGAGGAGGAUCAGCCACACUGGGGCUGAGACACGGCCCAGACUCCUACGGGAGGCAGCAGUGGGGAAUUUUGGACAAUGGGGGCAACCCUGAUCCAGCAAUGCCGCGUGAGUGAAGAAGGCCUUCGGGUUGUAAAGCUCUGUUGUCAGGGAAGAAACACCGGCUCUAACACAGUCCGGGAAUGACGGUACCUGAAGAAUAAGCACCGGCUAACUACGUGCCAGCCGCCGCAGUAA
rnacentral:rRNA from 1 species